rnacentral:rRNA from 1 species
GUGCCAGCCGCCGCGGUAAAACGUAGGAGGCAAGCGUUAUCCGGAUUUACUGGGCGUAAAGCGCGUGCAGGCGGUUUAACAAGUUGGAUGUGAAAGCUCCUGGCUUAACUAGGAGAGGUCGUUCAAAACUGUUAGACUAGAGGGCGGUAGAGGGAGGUGGAAUUCCGUGUGUAGUGGUGAAAUGCGUAGAUAUACGGAGGAACACCAGUGGCGAAAGCGGCCUCCUGGACCGAUCCUGACGCUCAGACGCGAAAGCUAGGGGAGCAAACGGGAUUAGAGACCCCGGUAGUCCUAGCUGUAAACGAUGUGAACUUGGCGUCGGUGGGUUUAAAUCCAUCGGUGCCGUAGCUAACGCGAUAAGUUCACCGCCUGGGGACUACGGCCGCAAGGUUAAA